rnacentral:rRNA from 1 species
GAUGAACGCUAGCGGCAGGCCUAAUACAUGCAAGUCGAACGGUAACAUGAGAGCUUGCUCUUGAUGACGAGUGGCGCACGGGUGCGUAACGCGUAUGCAACCUACCUAUUACAGGGGAAUAGCCCGGAGAAAUUCGGAUUAAUACCCCAUAGUACUAUUUGAUGGCAUCUGAAGAUAGUUAAAGAUUUAUCGGUAAUAGAUGGGCAUGCGUAAGAUUAGCUAGUUGGUAAGGUAAUGGCUUACCAAGGCUACGAUCUUUAGGGGGUCUGAGAGGAUGAUCCCCCACACUGGUACUGAGAUACGGACCAGACUCCUACGGGAGGCAGCAGUAGGGAAUAUUGGUCAAUGGGGGCAACCCUGAACCAGCCAUGCCGCGUGCAGGAAGAAGGCGUUCUGCGUUGUAAACUGCUUUUAUACAGGAAGAAAAUGCUAUGCGUAGUACUAUGACGGUACUGUAUGAAUAAGCACCGGCUAACUCCG